GAGUGUUACAGCUCUUUUAGAAUUUGUCUAGCAGGUUUUCUGGCUCUUGCCGGAAAACCCCU
rnacentral:snRNA from 1 species